GAACUACUCCCUCCGUUCGAAUUAUUUGUCGCAGGUAUAGAUAUAUCUAGAUGUAUUUUAGUUCUAGAUACAUCCAUUUCUGUGACGAGUAAUUCGGAACGAAGGGAGUAUUUA
rfam:Triticum aestivum genome assembly, contig: Triticum_aestivum_CS42_TGACv1_scaffold_112527_2AS